rnacentral:rRNA from 1 species
UACAGAGGUGGCAAGCGUUGUUCGGAAUUACUGGGCGUAAAGGGCGCGUAGGCGGCCAACUAAGUCAGACGUGAAAUCCCAUGGCUCAACCAUGGAACUGCGUCUGAUACUGGAUGGCUUGAGUUCGGGAGAGGGAAGUGGAAUUCCAGGUGUAGCGGUGAAAUGCGUAGAUAUCUGGAGGAACACCGGUGGCGAAGGCGGCUUCCUGGACCGACACUGACGCUGAGGCGCGAAAGCCAGGGGAGCAAACGGG